CCUACGGGGGGCAGCAGUGAGGAAUAUUGGUCAAUGGGCGAGAGCCUGAACCAGCCAAGUCGCGUGAGGGAGUACUGCCCUAUGGGUUGUAAACCUCUUUUGUCGGGGAGCAAAAGCCGGACGUGUCCGGCUGUGAGAGUACCCGAAGAAAAAGCAUCGGCUAACUCCGUGCCAGCAGCCGCGGUAAUACGGAGGAUGCGAGCGUUAUCCGGAUUUAUUGGGUUUAAAGGGUGCGUAGGCGGCGCUUCAGGUCAGCGGUGAAAUACCGGGGCUCAACCCCGGGGCUGCCGUUGAAACCGGAGCGC
rnacentral:rRNA from 1 species